rnacentral:rRNA from 1 species
CCUACGGGUGGCUGCAGUGGGGAAUAUUGGACAAUGGGCGAAAGCCUGAUCCAGCCAUGCCGCGUGUGUGAAGAAGGCCUUCGGGUUGUAAAGCACUUUCAGUGGGGAAGAAAGCCUUGGGGCUAAUACCCUCGAGGAAGGACAUCACCCACAGAAGAAGCACCGGCUAACUCCGUGCCAGCAGCCGCGGUAAUACGGAGGGUGCGAGUGUUAAUCGGAAUUACUGGGCGUAAAGCGCGCGUAGGCGGUCUGAUAAGCCGGUUGUGAAAGCCCCGGGCUCAACCUGGGAACGGCAUCCGGAACUGUCAGGCUAGAGUGCAGGAGAGGAAGGUAGAAUUCCCGGUGUAGCGGUGAAAUGCGUAGAGAUCGGGAGGAAUACCAGUGGCGAAGGCGGCCUUCUGGACUGACACUGACGCUGAGGUGCGAAAGCGUGGGUAGCAAACAGGAUUAGAUACCCCAGUAGUC